rnacentral:lncRNA from 1 species
CACUUCUGGACGGAAAAUGAAUCGCACACCGCGUUCCUGGAGAAGGAGUCUGGAGGAGAGGAGCAGCUGGCAACCAGAAGUGGCCAUGUGGUCUGAGAGGAGCUGUCUCCAGCAGUGGUGGAGGGUGGAGGCUUGGCGCUGCCUAUCUGUCUGAACCCGUGUCUUGCGUGGAACCCCUGAGUGCAGCUGGGCACCGCUGGCUGCAGGUGAAGCUGCCUCGUGCCCAAGGAUUAUUGGAAAAGGCAUAGCCAGUGCACCAGUCACCACAUGGUCAUCAGAGCGACAGAUCCCCGUGGCUACAAUCUGAUUUAGAAGAAAGGCGAGAACGUUUCAGCAUUUCAC